GACGAACGCUGGCGGCGUGCCUAAUACAUGCAAGUCGAACGCAUUUUCUUUCACCGUAGCUUGCUACACCGAAAGAAAAUGAGUGGCGAACGGGUGAGUAACACGUUGGUAACCUGCCCAUCAGCGGGGGAUAACACUUGGAAACAGGUGCUAAUACCGCAUAAUUCCAUUUACCGCAUGGUAGAUGGAUGAAAGGCGCUUUUGCGUCACUGAUGGAUGGACCCGCGGUGCAUUAGCUAGUUGGUGGGGUAACGGCCUACCAAGGCUGCGAUGCAUAGCCGACCUGAGAGGGUGAUCGGCCACACUGGGACUGAGACACGGCCCAGACUCCUACGGGAGGCAGCAGUAGGGAAUCUUCGGCAAUGGACGCAAGUCUGACCGAGCAACGCCGCGUGAGUGAAGAAGGUUUUCGGAUCGUAAAACUCUGUUGUUAGAGAAGAACAAGGAUGAGAGUGGAAAGUUCAUCCCUUGACGGUAUCUAACCAGAAAGCCACGGCUAACUACGUG
rnacentral:rRNA from 1 species